rnacentral:rRNA from 1 species
UACGGAGGGGGCUAGCGUUGUUCGGAAUUACUGGGCGUAAAGCGCACGUAGGCGGCGAUUUAAGUCAGAGGUGAAAGCCCGGGGCUCAACCCCGGAAUUGCCUUUGAGACUGGAUUGCUAGAAUCACGGAGAGGUGGGUGGAAUUCCGAGUGUAGAGGUGAAAUUCGUAGAUAUUCGGAAGAACACCAGUGGCGAAGGCGGCCCACUGGACGUGUAUUGACGCUGAGGUGCGAAAGCGUGGGGAGCAAACAGG